GAAAAAUACAGGGUAUCGGAACCGAUCACCCCUAAUCGCUUCUCUCCAACCUCCCCCGCUGCCUGGCCUGCUCGGUUCUGCUCUGUUCUGUUCUAUGAAUCCUCACUCAAGGGGAGGGAAGACUUUCAUAUUGUUAUGCUUCCUUGAGUGGCCUAAUCGUUGAUAAUUUGCGGCUUCCAAAUUUCAGCCAUGUCUACAGUCAAGAUCUACAUUGUUUUUUGUCUUUUGAAGGUACUACUCAUUGUAUGGGCCUGUGGAGACUAUGGCACGAGAAGUGCAGUUGAAGGUGUUGAAGCAACCCUCUAGCGGGCGGUUCCUUUUCAUAUUCUCUAUGCAAGAGGUCAGAUUCUUAAUGGACCGGAUCGAUAAUAAAAGAAU